UAGAAGAAUUAAUAUAUUACAUGAGACACGGGGCUACUGAUAUUCUCUGGAUUGUUGAGACAUCGUUUAUUGCAGUGGAAUGUUACUCCUCCGUGUCAGCCUUCACCACUGACAAAAACGCAGCUCUGCAAGAAGAGCUGCAGUAUCAUCAUCAUCACUCUCCUCUUCAAAAUCUUCAUCUUCAUCUUCCUCAUCUGUUAGAGGAUCAUCUGCAUCAAGGUUCAAAAGUUGGCCUAGCUGCUGUUGUCAUCUUUUAUGCUGCUACCCUCCUGCCGCUCACAUCGGCCGGGGUCUAAUGCUGCAGCUUCCGGAAAUCAUACAGACACCAUUACGACUGGUACCUCCCAGGAGCCUCUGCCUCAUUCACAUCUUUUAA
rnacentral:lncRNA from 1 species